AGAGCAUCAUUUCGUUUGUUAUACAGAAUAUCAAAAGUCAUGAGUCACAAGCCACAUAAUGAUUGUACCAGGGGGAGAUAACUGUGUUGGUCACAUCAAUCACAUUGUAUCGAUUCAACAGAUAGUUUUAUUAUUAAAUCAUUUACAUUGAUCUUUGUUUUUACUUAAACUUAAAAUGUAAAAGACUAUAUGUGAUAAAGAGUCGAACUUGGACUCCAUGAUUCAAAAUUUCAAUAUGGUUUUUUUUGCAACUGUAUCCAAUAUUUUGUUUUUAUUUUGUAAUUUUGUAGAAGCGUUGAUAUGAUGUAUAUUUUUCUAUUAUUGAUAUAUAUAAUUUUUUUCAAUCACUGGCAGUAUAUGAUGAAAGAUGUGAUGCAAAUUUUACAAUUCAAUCAAAAUCAGUCAAAAAAUGUUCUUUUCCCUAGGAUAUAUAGAGUGCAGUUUUGAACAAGUAAAAUCUAUCUCUUAGUUGUAAGUCUUGAAUAAAUAAAUUUUUCAAG
rnacentral:misc_RNA from 1 species